UGAAGUUCUGGGUUUGGUAAAGAGAAUAUAUACUUAAUUAUUCAGGUAGUAACUGCAGCCAGAAUUGUAUUUGCUCAAAACUGGAAAAGUGAAG